CUAAAUACUCCUGACUGACCGAUAGUGAACCAGUACCGUGAGGGAAAGGCGAAAAGAACCCCGGCGAGGGGAGUGAAAAAGAACCUGAAACCGUGUACGUACAAGCAGUGGGAGCACGCUUAGGCGUGUGACUGCGUACCUUUUGUAUAAUGGGUCAGCGACUUAUAUUCUGUAGCAAGGUUAACCGAAUAGGGGAGCCGAAGGGAAACCGAGUCUUAACUGGGCGUUAAGUUGCAGGGUAUAGACCCGAAACCCGGUGAUCUAGCCAUGGGCAGGUUGAAGGUUGGGUAACACUAACUGGAGGACCGAACCGACUAAUGUUGAAAAAUUAGCGGAUGACUUGUGGCUGGGGGUGAAAGGCCAAUCAAACCGGGAGAUAGCUGGUUCUCCCCGAAAGCUAUUUAGGUAGCGCCUCGUGAAUUCAUCUCCGGGGGUAGAGCACUGUUUCGGCAAGGGGGUCAUCCCGACUUACCAACCCGAUGCAAACUGCGAAUACCGGAGAAUGUUAUCACGGGAGACACACGGCGGGUGCUAACGUCCGUCGUGAAGAGGGAAACAACCCAGACCGCCAGCUAAGGUCCCAAAGUCAUGGUUAAGUGGGAAACGAUGUGGGAAGGCCCAGACAGCCAGGAUGUUGGCUUAGAAGCAGCCAUCAUUUAAAGAAAGCGUAAUAGCUCACUGGUCGAGUCGGCCUGCGCGGAAGAUGUAACGGGGCUAAACCAUGCACCGAAGCUGCGGCAGCGACGCUGAUGCGUUGUUGGGUAGGGGAGCGUUCUGUAAGCCUGCGAAGGUGUGCUGUGAGGCAUGCUGGAGGUAUCAGAAGUGCGAAUGCUGACAUAAGUAACGAUAAAGCGGGUGAAAAGCCCGCUCGCCGGAAGACCAAGGGUUCCUGUCCAACGUUAAUCGGGGCAGGGUGAGUCGACCCCUAAGGCGAGGCCGAAAGGCGUAGUCGAUGGGAAACAGGUUAAUAUUCCUGUACUUGGUGUUACUGCGAAGGGGGGACGGAGAAGGCUAUGUUGGCCGGGCGACGGUUGUCCCGGUUUAAGCGUGUAGGCUGGUUUUCCAGGCAAAUCCGGAAAAUCAAGGCUGAGGCGUGAUGACGAGGCACU
rnacentral:rRNA from 1 species